ACAACUCUUAAUUGAGAAAAAAAAAAAAAAGCUAUUUCAACAACUUUAAUUUUUUUUCUCCCUAAUUUUUCACAAAGUACCCAAAAAUAUAAUGAACUAUAUAACAAAAACUAAAAAAAAUUAAAAAAAUAACUGAUCCACUUCGGGGUCUUAACAAAAACCCCACCAGAGCGCCAAAUUUAAAUCUUCAAUCAAAAGGUUUAGGUCUCCGAUCGAUCUGACUGCUCCGAAUCGGCUGAUCUUCAAAUCAGUGCUCCAGUGCUCUAGUACGCAUCUCAAAAUUUACAAAAACUUUGGAUCUACGAUCGAUCGACUGCUCCGCAUCUCAAAUCAGUGCUCCGAUCGACUACUGCUCCAAACGAGUGCUCCGACCGCUUUCGAUUGAACCCUAGCCAUCUAUUGGAAUAGAUAAAUGAUUGAUAUGAGUUCCCUUUGCAACUCGAUCUUGAUAGAGAGAAUGGAAAAUAUUUAUCUCCAGAUGCUGAUCAAAGUGUUCGCAAUCUCUAUACACUUCACAGUGUUUUAGUUCACAGCGGCGGGGUGCAUGGGGGACACUAUUAUGCAUAUAUCAGGCCAACACUCUCUGAUCAAUGAUAAGACUAAAGAAGGAACAAGAAAAAAAGGAACAAAAGAGAGAGGAGAAAGCAGAGGCUCACCUCUAUACAAUCAUCAAGGUAGCUCGUGAUUAAGACCUUGGUAAACAAAUUGGAAAGGAGAUCUAUUUUGAUUUGUGGAUCAUGAUGAAGUGCAUAGUUUCCGUGUUAAGAAGCAGAUGCCAUUUUCUCAAUUCAAGGAGGAGGUUGCUAAAGAAUUUGGUAUACCAGUGCAAUUUCAGCGUUACUGGCUAUGGGCAAAGCGCCAGAACCAUACAUAUCAGCCUAAUCGUCCAUUGACAGCUCAAGAAGAAGUUCAAUUCGUAAAUUAUGUCUAACAAUCUUACCUCUGAUGUAUGCUUGCGUCUGAAUUAUGACUGGACUUCUAUUGGUGAUGUUCUUUACUAUGCUUGUUUUUGGUUUCCCAGAUUAUUCCUUUGCUUAAAAAAAGAAGAAGAAUGAUCUUAGCAUGAUAUUUUUUUCAUUUGUGUAGCUAAAUGUCAGUUUGAUUCUUUAAAUUCUCUUGCUUGAUUUGUCUUCUUCGAAAAAAUGUUGUACAUAAGGUUAAUUAUUUUGUAUGUUACAAGAAUACGUGGACUGCAAUCCACUAAACACUGUAAUUAUGAUGGCAAGUUUUCUCAAUAACUCUUUUUAAAUCUCCAGGAAUUUGAAGAUACCCUGAUAUAUAUGGCUAGCGUACGCACCAAAGCAGAGGCUUAUGAAAUUUGUCGUAUAGUACCCCCGCUUCGUGGAAACCUCCAUGCCCUCUUAAGGAAAAAACUAUAUGAGAGAACUCCAAAUUUGCUACCCGUGUACAGAGUAUCGACAAACUUCAAAUCGAGAUUCGAUGAGAAGGAUGUGUGUAAUACUCCGUAUUUUUUUUUUAGCUUAAAUUUGUUCCUAAAUAUUAAGGAAUAGCUUUCAAAAUGAAUAACAUUUAUUUCAUGUGAAAUUUUUCAGAUUUA